ensembl:lncRNA
ACCACACUUCCCUCAUCCUCAUUCUCUCCUCAUCCCUCCAUUCAUCCUUCUCCCUUCUAAUUCCAGUAAUCUCUUUCUCUUCUUCCCUUCUCAUUGCCCUCAGCACUGUCUGUCUCUCUUCUUUCCAUCUCUUUGACUGACUUUGACAAAGUUUGAAGCAUGGGCUGUGGGAAUUCCACCUCUGCUAGCACAGCUGCAGGUCCAUCUGAGUCAGCUAAAGAUGUGCUCUGACUUCAGAGAGAGAGAGAGAAUGAGAUAAACAGGAAGGAAGAUGCUAGUGAUCCUUGCAGUGUCCUUCAGUUUUUGCAACUGCUUGUCAAUCAAUUUCCCUUCUGAGAAAAAAACAUAGUGGGGUUUUGAACACUGCCUGUCAUUUUCCAAACAGUUCCUGGAAUUAUUCUCUCAAAUCUGAACAACAAGCACCCACACAGCAGGAGAGAUUUUUGCGCGCACAUAUCUGGGCCUUCACUGCC